rnacentral:rRNA from 1 species
AUGCAGUCGAGCGGAUGAGAGGAGCUUGCUCCUUAAUUCAGCGGCGGNACGGGUGAGUAAUGCCUAGGAAUCUGCCUGGUAGUGGGGGACAACGUUUCGAAAGGAACGCUAAUACCGCAUACGUCCUACGGGAGAAAGCAGGGGACCUUCGGGCCUUGCGCUAUCAGAUGAGCCUAGGUCGGAUUAGCUAGUUGGUGAGGUAAUGGCUCACCAAGGCGACGAUCCGUAACUGGUCUGAGAGGAUGAUCAGUCACA